AACCCUCUGGAAUGCUUACCCUGGUCCAUCUGGAUAGUAGAUUCCUUCCUUCCAACCACCCUCUCUCUCAAAACACCUAGAAACUGUACGUGAGACUUUUUAUGGAAGAAAAUUCAUUUAUACAUGGAAAUGACUUUGUCUUGCACUUCAUUGUAUGAUAAAAAAUGCAAACCAUGGAAUGGAGGUAUCUUCUGACCACUCUACCGAUCAUAUUCUUCAUAAAAAUUAGCCAGAUUCUCCCUGUACCCUACUGUAACACGAGGUAGAGGAGACAGCAGUGAUGCAGCAGCUGGUAUUGUUUGAUCAGCAACACAACCCUUGCUGGAACUUCAUUUCCCUUGCAGACUCACUACUAGAAUACAUUUGUCAUCCAUACUUUGUAGCAGAGUUAUAUUUGCCUCUAAGUACACAGGAGUCUGGCAAAACUUUAUUGUUAAAGUACUGCCAUUUAAAUCCCCAAUCUUAAACUGGAGUAUUUGCAAAACUCUGUAAUUGCUAAAAUAAUAAAGCUGCCAUUACUGUA